GCCAAGUAUUAAAAAAUAUUAAUAUUUUCCUUGGAAAGUUGAUAUAAUGAAUGUUGUUAAACAUGUGUAUAUUGUAUCAGUGACCCCUGUGGUGGCUAAUAGCGAUGGUGUGAAAGAGAAGGAGGUUGGUUGAGCCCCGAAGAAAUUCCAUGAUUAAACAUUAUGCGUAUUGUGUAUGUAGGAGGGGCCACCAGUGGUAUCUGUU